GGGGAAGCUUAAACUGCAGUCGAGCGAGCUUGCCUAGAUGAUUUUAGUGCUUGCACUAAAUGAAACUAGAUACAAGCGAGUGGCGGACGGGUGAGUAACACGUGGGUAACCUGCCCAAGAGACUGGGAUAACACCUGGAAACAGAUGCUAAUACCGGAUAACAACACUAGACGCAUGUCUAGAGUUUGAAAGAUGGUUCUGCUAUCACUCUUGGAUGGACCUGCGGUGCAUUAGCUAGUUGGUAAGGUAACGGCUUACCAAGGCAAUGAUGCAUAGCCGAGUUGAGAGACUGAUCGGCCACAUUGGGACUGAGACACGGCCCAAACUCCUACGGGAGGCAGCAGUAGGGAAUCUUCCACAAUGGACGAAAGUCUGAUGGAGCAACGCCGCGUGAGUGAAGAAGGGUUUCGGCUCGUAAAGCUCUGUUGGUAGUGAAGAAAGAUAGAGGUAGUAACUGGCCUUUAUUUGACGGUAAUUACUUAGAAAGUCACGGCUAACUACGUGCCAGCAGCCGCGGUAAUACGUAGGUGGCAAGCGUUGUCCGGAUUUAUUGGGCGUAAAGCGAGUGCAGGCGGUUCAAUAAGUCUGAUGUGAAAGCCUUCGGCUCAACCGGAGAAUUGCAUCAGAAACUGUUGAACUUGAGUGCAGAAGAGGAGAGUGGAACUCCAUGUGUAGCGGUGGAAUGCGUAGAUAUAUGGAAGAACACCAGUGGCGAAGGCGGCUCUCUGGUCUGCAACUGACGCUGAGGCU
rnacentral:rRNA from 1 species